rnacentral:rRNA from 1 species
GUAGGGAAUAUUGGGCAAUGGAAGGAAUUCUGACCCAGCCAUGCCGCGUGCAGGAAUACAGUCCUAUGGACUUUAAACUGCUUUUAUUAUAGAGUAACCUGGGGGACGUGUCCCCCACUGCAAGUAUAUAAUGAAUAAGCAUCGGCUAACUCCGUGCCAGCAGCCGCGGUAAUACGGGGGAUGCAAGCGUUAUCCGGAUUUAUUGGGUUUAAAGGGUGCGCAGGCUGAUCGGUAAGUCAUGGGUGAAAAGUCACUGCUUAACAGUGAUCGUGCCUAUGAUACUGCCGGACUAGAGUUUAAGAGGUGUAACUGGAAUGUGAUGUGUGGCGGUGAAAUGCUUAGAUAUGUCACAGAACGCCAAUCGUGAAGACAGGUUACAAACUUAAUACUGACGCUCAUGCACGAAAGCGUGGGGAUCAAACAGGAUUAGAUACCCUGGUAGUCC